GGGAAUGUGGCUUAGUGGUAGAGUGCUUGCCCGGCAUGUAAGAAGCCUUGGGUUUGACUCCUCAGUACCA
rnacentral:tRNA from 1 species